UGGCAAGUCUUAUACGGCCAGCUCCCGAUGAAUCCCCCAGGGCAGGAAUGCAGCAAGGGUGUUCGGUUGUAGCGGCGCGAUGUAAGUAACUUGCCAGUU
rnacentral:SRP_RNA from 1 species